rnacentral:rRNA from 1 species
UGGGGAAUAUUGCACAAUGGGCGCAAGCCUGAUGCAGCCAUGCCGCGUGUAUGAAGAAGGCCUUCGGGUUGUAAAGUACUUUCAGUCGGGAGGAAGGUGGUAAGGUUAAUAACCUUGGCAAUUGACGUUACCGACAGAAGAAGCACCGGCUAACUCCGUGCCAGCAGCCGCGGUAAUACGGAGGGUGCAAGCGUUAAUCGGAAUUACUGGGCGUAAAGCGCACGCAGGCGGUUGAUUGAGUCAGAUGUAAAAUCCCCGGGCUUAACCCGGGAAUUGCAUCUGAUACUGGUCAGCAAGAGUCUUGUAGAGGGGGGUAGAAUUCCAUGUGUAGCGGUGAAAUGCGUAGAGAUGUGGAGGAAUACCGGUGGCGAAGGCGGCCCCCUGGACAAAGACUGACGCUCAGGUGCGAAAGCGUGGGGAGCAAACAGG